AGGACGAACGCUGGCGGCGUGCUUAACACAUGCAAGUCGAGCGGAAAGGCCCUUCGGGGUACUCGAGCGGCGAACGGGUGAGUAACACGUGAGUAAUCUGCCCCUAGCUCUGGGAUAGCUCCGGGAAACCGGGAUUAAUACCGGAUACGACCACCUUAGACAUCUUUUGUGGUGGAAAGAAUUUCGGCUGGGGUGGGGCUCGCGGCCUAUCAGCUUGUUGGGGGGGUGACGGCCCACCAAGGCGACGACGGGUAGCCGGCCUGAGAGGGCGACCGGCCACACUGGGACUGAGACACGGCCCAGACUCCUACGGGAGGCAGCAGUGGGGAAUAUUGCGCAAUGGGCGGAAGCCUGACGCAGCGACGCCGCGUGCGGGAUGAAGGCCUUCGGGUUGUAACCGCUUUCACCAGGGACGAAGCGAGAGUGACGGUACCGUGGGGAAGAGCGCCGGCUAACUACGUGCCAGCAGCCGC
rnacentral:rRNA from 1 species